GUGCUGGUUUUGGCAGCACGUGUACUAAAAUUGAAAUCAUAUACAGGUUAUUAUGGCUACUGCACAAGGAUGACAUGUGAGUUCAUCAAGUGUUGCACAUCCAA
rnacentral:snRNA from 1 species